rnacentral:rRNA from 1 species
AUUGAACGCUGGCGGCAGGCCUAACACAUGCAAGUCGAGCGAGCGGCGGACGGGUGAGUAAUGUAUGGGGACUGCCCGAUAGAGGGGGAUAACUACUGGAAACGGUAGCUAAUACCGCAUACUAUCGGAUAACCCAUAUGGGAUUAGCUAGUAGGUGAGGUAAUGGCUCACCUAGGCGACGAUCCCUAGCUGGUCUGAGAGGAUGAUCAGCGAAACUGGGGCUGUGACACGGCCCAGACUGCUACGGCGGCAGCAGUGGGGAAUAUGGCAGAAUGGGCGAAAGCCUGAUGCAGCGAUGCCGCGUGGAUGAAGAAGGACCGAGGGUUUUUAAGUACUUUCAGUCGGGAGGGGUUACAGACAGAAGAAGCACCGGCUAAUUCCGUGCCAGCAGCCGCGGUAAUAC